CCCAUUAUCACUUGCUUUCAACGGCAGUAUUUCAUAAGACUGCAUGUUUAGGGAGGAAUGCACUGUUGCUUGGUAUAUCCAGUUUGGUUAAAGGAGGAAUGCAUUAAAAAUGCACCGCCACCGGUUUGUGUCAUGUGACUCAAAACAGAACUAAUAAAAAUGUGAAAUUUGAGGAAAGCAGUUAUUUCCAUUUAUCGAGGGACUUACAACUUCACCUGUGUGUGAACAAAAUGGAUUGGGUGGUCUAUUUGACAGCUACCAAGAUGAGUAGAAAAACACUGACAAUUGCAUUGUUAAGUUUAGUGUUUUGUAGCGCAUCAGCUGAGUCAGCAAACUCACCUACAACUGAAUCUAUGACUGUCACAUCAUACUCACCUGCACAAACGACACAAUUCUGCUUACAACUGACACAACAGCAUAUACAAUACUGUUCAACAACAACUGAAACUCUGUUUACAACCACUGCCAAACCAACACAAACACCUGAAUCAACAAACUCACCUAUAACUGCAACAACUGAAUCUACGACUGUUAGAACAAACACAGCUACAACUAAAACUCGGCUUACAACUACAAGCCUUCCUACAGAAAAAACAACACAACUCACAACUGAGCAAUCAACUACAUCUGAACAAAGCACCACAAUGCAGUCAGCAAAUUCAUCCCUACCUACAACAAGUACAGCUCAAUCUACAACUGAGGUUACAACAAACUCACCCACAACUACAACUCUGCUUACAACUACAGCUCCUCCUACAGAAACAACAACAACACAACUUACAUCUACGGCUGAACCAAAAACCACAACUGCUGCAACAUCUACAACUGAACCAAAAACCACAACUGCUUCAACACCUACAACUGAACAAUCAACUACAUCUGAACAAAGCACCCCAAAGCAGACAACAACAUCAUCCCUACCUACAACAAGUACAGCUCAAUCUACAACCCUGGUUACAACAAACUCACCUACAACUACAUCUCGGAUUACAAUUUCAGCCCCUCCUACAGAAACAACAACAAAACUUACAUCUACAGCUGAACCAACAACCAUAACUGUUUCAACAUCUACAACUGAACUAUCAACUACAUCAGAACAAAGCACCACAACACAGACAGGAACAAAAUCCCUACCUACAACAAGUACAGCUCAAUCUACAACUGAGGUUACAACAAUCUCACCUACAACUGCAACUCUGCUUACAACUACAGCCCCUCCUACAGAAACAACAACAACACAACUUACAUCUACGGUUGAACCAACAACCACAACUGCUUCAUCAUCUACAGCUGAACCAACAACCACAAUUGCUUCAUCAUCUACAGCUGAACCAACAACCACAACUGUUUUAACAUCUACAACAGAACAAUCAACUACAUCAGAACAAAGCACCACAACACAGACAGGAACAAAAUCCCUACCUACAACAAGUACAGCUCAAUCUACAACUGAGGUUACAACAAACUCACCUACAACUACAACUCUUCUUACAACUAAAACCCCUCCUACAGAAACAACAAGACUUACAUCUACUGCUGAACCAACAACCACAACUGCUUCAUCGUCUACAACUGAACUAACAACCAUAACUGCUUCAACACCUUCAACUGAACAAUCAACUACAUCUGAACAAAGCACCCCAAUGCAGACAACAACAUCAUCCCUACCUACAACAAGUACAGCUCAAUCUACAACCCUGGUUACAACAAACUCACCUACAACUACAUCUCGGGUUACAAUUACAGCCCCUCCUACAGAAACAACAAAACUUACAUCUACAGCUGAACCAACAACCACAACUGUUUUAACAUCUAUGACAGAACAAUCAACUACAUCUGAACACAGCACCACAAUGCAGAUGGCAACAACAUCCCUACCUACAACAAGUACAGCUCAAUCUACAACUGAGGUUACAACAAACUCACCUACAACUACAACUCUUCUUACAACUACAACCCCUACUACAGAAACAACAAGACUUACAUCUACUGCUGAACCAACAACCACAACUGCUUCAUCAUCUACAACUGAAUUAACAACCAUAACUGCUUCAACACCUUCAACUGAACAAUCAACUACAUCUGAACAAAGCACCCCAAUGCAGACAACAACAUCAUUCCUACCUACAACAAGUACAGCUCAAUCUACAACCCUGGUUACAACAAACUCACCUACAACUACAUCUCGGGUUACAAUUACAGCCCCUCCUACAGAAACAACAACAAAACUUACAUCUACAGCUGAACCAACAACCACAACUGUUUUAACAUCUAUGACAGAACAAUCAACUACAUCUGAACACAGCACCACAACGCAGACGGCAACAACUUCCCUACCUACAACAAGUACAGCUCAAUCUACAACCCUGGUUACAACAAACUCACCUACAACUACAUCUCGGGUUACAAUUACAGCCUCUCCUACAGAAACAACAACAAAACUUACAUCUACAGCUGAACCAACAACCAAAACUCUUUUAACAUCUACAACUGAACCAACAACCACAACUGCUUCAUCAUCUACAACUGAAUCAACAACCACAACUGUUUUAACAUCUACAACAGAACAAUCAACUAUAUCUGAACAAAGCACCACAAUACAGAUGGCAACAACAUCACUACUUUCAAGAAGUACAGCUCAAUCUACAACUGAGGUUACAACAAACUCACCUACAACUGCAACUCUGCUUACAACUACAACACCUCCUACAGAAAGAACAAGAAUUACAUCUACUGCUGAACCAGCAACCACAGCUGCUUCAUCGUUUACAACUGAACUAACAACCAUAACUGCUUCAACACCUACAACUGAACAAUCAACUACAUCUGAACAAAGCACCCCAAUGCAGACAACAACAUCAUCCCUACCUACAACAAGUACAGCUCAAUCUACAACCCUGGUUACAACAAACUCACCUACAACUACAUCUCGGAUUACAAUUACAGCCCCUCCUACAGAAACAACAACAAGACAACUUACAUCUACGGCUGAACCAAUAAUUACAACUGUUUUAACAUCUACAACAGAACAAUCAACUACAUCAGGACAAAGCACCACAACACAGACGGCAACAACGUCCCUACCUACAACAAGUACAGCUCAAUCUACAACUGAGGUUACAACAAACUCACCUACAACUGCAACUCUGCUUACAACUCCAGGCCCUCCAACAGAAACAACAACAACACAACUUACAUCUACAACUGAACUAACAACCACGACUGCUUCAACAUCUACAACUGAACAAUCAACUACAUCUGAACAAAGCACCCCAAUGCAGACAACAACAUCAUCCUUACCUACAACAAGUACAGCUCAAUCUACAACCCUGGUUACAACAAACUCACCUAUAACUACAUCACAGGUUACAAUUACAGCCCCUCCUACAGAAACAACAACAAAACUUACAUCUACAGCUGAACCAACAACCACAGCUGUUUUAACAUCUACAACUGAACCAACAACCACAACUGCUUCAUCAUCUACAGCUGAACCAACAAGCACAACUGUUUUAACAUCUACGACAGAACAAUCAACUACAUCUGAACAAAGCACCACAACGCAGACGGCAACAACAUCCCUACCUACAACAAGUACAGCUCAAUCUACAACUGAGGUUACAACAAACUCACCUACAACUACAACCCCUCCUACAGAAACAACAAGACUUACAUCUACUGCUGAACCAACAACCACAACUGCUUCAUCAUCUACAACUGAACUAACAACCAUAACUGCUUCAACACCUACAACUGAACAAUCAACUACAUCUGAACAAAGCAGCCCAAUGCAGACAACAACAUCAUCCUUACCUAUAACAAGUACAGCUCAAUCUACAACCCUGGUUACAACAAACUCACCUAUAACUACAUCACAGGUUACAAUUACAGCCCCUCCUACAGAAACAACAACAAAACUUACAUCUACAGCUGAACCAAAAACCACAACUGAUUCAUCAUCUACAGCUGAACCAACAACCACAACUGAUUCAUCAUCUACAGCUGAACCAACAACCACAACUAUUUUAACAUCUACAACAGAACAAUCAACUAAAUCAGGACAAAGCACCACAACACAGACGGCAACAACAUCCCUACCUACAACAAGUACAGCUCAAUCUACAACUGAGGUUACAACAAACUCACCUACAACUGCAACUCUGCUUACAACUCCAGGCCCUCCAACAGAAACAACAACAACACAACUUACAUCUACAACUGAACUAACAACCACAACUGCUUCAACAUCUACAACUGAACAAUCAACUACAUCUGAACAAAGCACCCCAAUGCAGACAACAACAUCAUCCUUACCUACAACAAGUACAGCUCAAUCUACAACCCUGGUUACAACAAACUCACCUAUAACUACAUCACAGGUUACAAUUACAGCCCCUCCUACAGAAACAACAACAAAACUUACAUCUACAGCUGAACCAACAACCACAACUGAUUCAUCAUCUACAGCUGAACCAACAACCACAACUGAUUCAUCAUCUACAACAGAACAAUCAACUACAUCUGAACACAGCACCACAACGCAGACAGCAACAACAUCCCUAUCUACAACAAGUACAGCUCAAUCUACAACUGAGGUUACAACAAACUCACCUACAACUGCAACUCUGCUUACAACUCCAGGCCCUCCUACAGAAACAACAACAACACAACUUACAUCUACGGCUGAACCAAUAAUCACAACUGUUUUAACAUCUACAACAGAACAAUCAACUACAUCAGAACAAAGCACCACAACACAGAUGGCAACAAUAUCCCUACUUACAACAAGUACAGCUCAAUCUACAAGUGAGGUUACAACAAACUCACCUACAACUGCAACUCUGCUUACAACUCCAGGCCCUCCUACAGAAACAACAACAACACAACUUACAUCUACAACUGAACUAACAACCACAACUGCUUCAUCAUCUACACCUGAACCAACAACCACAACUGUUUUAACAUCUACGACAGAACAAUCAACUACAUCUGAACACAGCACCACAACGCAGACGGCAACAACAUCCCUAUCUACAACAAGUACAGCCCCAUCUACAACUGAGGUUACAACAAACUCACCUACAACUGCAACUUUGCUUACAACUCCAGGCCCUCCUACAGAAACAACAACAACACAACUUACAUCUACGGCUGAACCAAUAAUCACAACUGUUUUAACAUCUACAACAGAACAAUCAACUACAUCAGAACAAAGCACCACAACACAGAUGGCAACAAUAUCCCUACUUACAACAAGUACAGCUGAAUCUACAACUGAGGUUACAACAAACUCACCUACAACUGCAACUCUGCUUACAACUCCAGGCCCUCCUACAGAAACAACAACAACACAACUUACAUCUACAACUGAACUAACAACCACAACUGCUUCAACAUCUACAACUGAACAAUCAGCUACAUCUGAACAAAGCACCCCAAUGCAGACAACAACAUCAUCCCUACCUACAACAAGUACAGCUCAAUCUACAACCCUGGUUACAAAAAACUCGCCUACAACUACAUCGCAGGUUACAACUUCAGCCCCUCCUACAGAAACAACAACACAACUUACAUCUUCUGCUGAACCAACAACCACAACUGUUUUAUCAUCUACAAAUGAACCAACAACCACAACUGAUUCAUCAUAUACAACUGUACUAACAACCACAACUGCUUCAACAUCUACAACUGAACAAUCAACUACAUCUGAACACAGCACCACAACGCAGGCGGCAACAACAUCCCUAUCUACAACAAGUACAGCUCAAUCUACAACUGAGAUUACAACAAACUCACCUACAACUGCAACUCUUCUUUCAACUCCAGGCCCUCCAACAGAGACAACGCAACUUACAUCUACUUCUGAACCAACAACCACAACUGCUUCAACAUCUAAAACUGAACAGUCAACUACAUCUGAACAAAGCACAACAACAGAGACAGCAACAACAUCACCACCACCUACCACAAGUUCAGCACAAUCGACAACUGAGGUUACAACAAACUCACCUACAACUGCAACUCUUCUUACAACUCCAGGCCCUCCAGCAGAGACAAUGCAACUUACAUCUACUGCUGAACCAAAAACCACAACUGCUUCAACAUCUAAAACUGAACAGUCAACUACAUCUGAACAAAGCACCCCAAUGCAGACAACAACAUCAUCCCUACCUACAACAAGUACAGCUCAAUCUACAACCCUGGUUACAACAAACUCACCUACAACUACACCUCGGGUUACAACUAUAGCCCCUCCUACAGAAACAACACAACUUACAUCUACAGCUGAACCAACAACCACAACUGCUUCAUCAUCUACAAAUGAACUAAUAACCACAACUGCUUCAUCAUCUACAACUGAACAAUCAACUACAUCUGAAAAAAGCACCACAAUGCAGACAGUAAAAACAUCCCUACCUACAAGUACAGCUCAAUCUACAACUGAGGUAACAACAAACUCACCUACAACUGCAUCUCUGCUUACAACUACAGCCCCUCCUAUAGAAACAACAACAACACAAUUUACAUCUGCGGUUGAACCAACAACCACAACUGUUUUAACAUCUACAACUCAACCAACAACCACAACUCCGUCAACGUCUACAACUGAACAAUCAACUACAUCUGAACAAAGCACCACAAUGCAGACAGCAACAACUACUCUACCUACAACAAAUACAGCUCAAUCUACAACCCUGGUUACAACAAACUCAGCUAUACCUACAUCUCAGGUUACAACUACAGCCCCUUCAACAGAAACAACAGAAACACAACUUACAUCUACGGCUGAACCAACAACCACAACUUUUUUAACAUCUACAACUGAACCAAUAACCACAACUGUUUUAAUAUCUACAACAGAACAAUCAACUACAUCAGAACAAAGCACCACAACACAGAUAGGAACAAAAUCCCAACCUACAACAAGUAUAGCUCAAUCUACAACUGAGGUUUCAACAAACUCACCAAGAACUACAUUUCAAGUUACAACUACAGGCCCUCCUAAAGAAACAACAACAACAAAACUUACAUCUAUUGCUGAACCAACAACCACAAUUGCUGCAACAUCUACAACUGAACAAUCAACAACAUCUGAACACAGCACCACAAUGCAGACAGCAACAACAUCCAUACCUACAACAAGUACAGCUCAAUCUACAACUGAGGUUUCAACAAACUCACCUAGAACUGCAACUCUACUUACAACUACAGCCCCUCCUACAGAAACAACAAUAACACAACUUAUAUCUACAGCUGAACCAACAACCACAACUUCUUUAUCAUCUACAAUUAAACAAUCAACUACACCUGAACAAAGCACCGCAACACAGGCAUCAACACCAUCCUUACCUUCAACAAAUACAGCACAAUCUACAAACCUGGUUACAACAAACUCACCUACAACUACAUCUCGGGUUACGACUACAGCCCCUCCUACAGAAACAACAACAAGAAAACUUACAUCUACGGAUGGAUCAACAACCACAACUGCUUCAUCAUCUACAACUGAAGAAUCAACUACAUCUGAACAAAGUGCCCCAACACAGACAUCAACAUCUUCCUUACCUACAUCUCGGUUUACAACUACAGCCCCUCCUACAGAAACUACAACAGGAAAACUUACAUCUACAGCUGAACCAAAAACCACAACUUCUUCUUCAUCUACAACUGAACAAUCAACUACAUCUGAACAAAGCACCCUAACACAGACAUCAACAUCACCCUUACCUUCAACAAAUACAGCUCAGACUACAACCCUGGUUACAACAAACUCACCUACAACUACAUCUCGGGUUACGACUACACCCCCUCCUACAGAAACAACAUCAAGAAAACUUACAUCUACGGCUGAACCAACAACCACAGCUACUUCAACAUCAACAACAGAACAAUCAACUACAUCUCAACACAAAAACCCCCCAAACGGGUUUCAACAAACUCACCUACAACUGCAACUCUGCUUACAACUAGAGCCCCUCCUACAGAAACAACACAACUUACAUCUACGGGUAAACCAACAACAACAACUGUUUUAAGAUCUACAACUGAACCAACAACUACAACUGUUUUAACAUCUACAACUGAACAAUCAACAACACCUGAACAAAGCACCACAAUGCAGACAACAACAACAUCCUUACCUACAAAAAAUACACCUCAAUCUACAACCGUGGUUACAGCAAACUCACUUACAAGUACAUCUCAGUUUACAACCACAGCCCCUCCUACAGAAACAACAACACAACUUACAUCUAUGGCUGAACCAACAACGACAACUGUUUUAACAUCUACAACAGAACAAUCAACUACAUCUGAACAAAGCACCACAAUGCAGUCAACAACAACAUCCCUACCUACAACAAGUACAGCUCAAUCCACAACUGAGGUUACAACAAACUCACCUACAACUGCAACUCUGUUUACAACUACAGCCCCUCCUACAGAAACAACAACCACACAACUUACAUCUACAGCUGAACCAACAACCACAACUGCGUCAACAUCUACAACUGAAAAAUCAACUAUACCCGAACAAAGCACCACAACACAGACAGCAACAACAUCCCUACAUACAACAAGUACAGCUCAAUCUACAACCCUGAUUUCAACAAACUCAGCUACACCUACAUCUCGGGUUACAAUUACAGCCCCUCCUACAGAAACAACAACAACACAACUUACAUCUACAGCUGAACCAACAACCAUAACUGUUUUAACAUCUACGGCUGAACCAACAACCACAACUGUUUUAACAUCUACAACAAAACAAUCAAUUACAUCCCAACACAGCACCACAACACAGACAGCAACAACAUACCUACCUACAACAAGUACAGCUCAAUCUACAACCCUGGUUACAACAAACAUGACUGUUACAUCAAGCUCAGCUACACAAACGACACAAUUCUGCUUAAAAGUGACACAACAGCUGAUACAAUACUGCUCAGCAACAACUGAAACUCUGUCUACAACCACUGCCAAACCUACACAAAAACCUGACUCAACAAACUCACCUGCAUCUGCAACAACAGAAUCUAUGACUGUUACAGUAAACUCAGUCCCUUCCACAGAAACAACAACAACAACAACACAACUUACAUCUACGGCUGAACCAACAACUACAACCAGAGCUCAAUCAACAACAACCCCAGGCACAACCCAGACAGUUUUUGUUAGUUUUUCCAGCAGUGAAAUUUUUGUCUCUGAUCUGUCAAAUCCAGCUUCAGAAGCAUAUAAAAACAGAGAAAAGAAUGUCAACGAUACGUUGACACCAUUCUUUAGAAAUGCAUUGCCCUCCUUCAAAGGACUGGCAGUUAUUCAGUUCCGUAAUGGGUCAAUCAUCACUGAUAUGAAUGUGACAUUUGGAACCUUACCCAGUGAUGUUGAGAUAGAAAACACUAUUAUGAAAGCUAAUGCCACUCUCAGUAUCACCAGUGUAACAAUAUGGAAGCCCUUCACCACAACUACCAAAGCCACUACAACCAGUUCCACUACAAUUACAACUACAACCACACCUAACACAACAACAGCAGCAGCAACAACAACAACCACAACAUCUACUGCCAAUCCUAAUACAACAGCAUCACCAGCAACCACAACAUCUACUGUCAAUCCUAAUACAACAGCAUCACUAGCAACCACAACAUCUACUGCCAAUCCUAUUACAACACAACAACAACAACCACCACCACAACAUCUAAUGUCAAUCCGAAUACAACAGCAUCAACAGCAACCACAACAUCUACUGUCAAUCCUAAUACAACAGCAUCAACAGCAACCACAACAUCUACUGUCAAUCCUAUUACAAUAGCAACAACAACCACAACAUCUACUGUCAAUCCUAAUACAACAGCAUCAACAGCAACCACAACAUCUACUGCCAAUCCUAUUACAACAACAGCAACAGCAACAACAACAACCACAACAUCUAUUGUCAAUCCUAAUACAACAGCAUCACCAGCAACCACAACAUCUACUGCCAAUCUUAAUACAACAGCAUCAACAGCAACCACAACAUCUACUGUCAAUCCUAAUACAACAGCAUCACCAACAACCACAACAUCUACUGCCAAUCCUAAUACAACAGCAUCAACAACAACCACAACAUCUAUUGUCAAUCCUAUUACAACAGCAACAACAACAACCACAGCAUCUACUGCCAAUCCUAAUACAACAGUAUCAUCAACAACAGCAACCACAACAUCUACUGCCAAGCCUAAUACAACAGCAUCAACAGCAACCACAACAUCUACUGUCAAUCCUAAUACAACAGCACCAACAGCAACCACAACAACAACCACAACAUCUACUGCCAAACCUAAUACAACUGUAACAACAACACCCACAACCACAACAACAACAACAACAACAACAAAAACAACAACAACAACAACAACAUCUACUGCCAAUCCUAAAACAACAGCAACAACAACCACAAUAACAACAGCAGCAACCACAACAGCAGCACCAGCACGUCCUCAGCCAACUGUUGCCAUACAGAUUGUCAUUAUAGAGGUGUUUGUUCCAGCACUGAAAGACCCUCAAACUCCGGAAUUUAAAAGCCUAGCCACAAAAGUAGAGACUAUGUUUGAUGAAGUCUAUAAGAAAAAGUUUGGACCUCGUUUCAUCAGGACCAUCGUGAUUGCUUUCAUAGCUGUUGCCAGGACCCGGGCAGACUCAAACGUACAGGCGGAGGUUAAGUUAGUGUUUAGUGAAGUGUCCACUGAACCAAUCCCCAGCAACACCGACAUUGUGGAGACUCUAAAAGAAGCAGCUGCUAAUUCAACUGGAGGCUUCAACCUCACCCUUGAUGCCACCUCUAUUACUGUCAUUAAAUCAGUGCAGAUAAUUCCGCUGACCAUCCUCACCAAUGGAACCUUUGUGGCUGCUCUUUCAAAUAAAAGUUCUACUGAAUUUCAGAACAGGGCUUCGAUGAUAAAAACAGGGCUCGAACCUUUUUUCCUGACUGAUUACCCUGCAUCAUUCAGCACCAUAUCCGUAACAAACUUCAGUGAUGCCAGUGUAAAAUUAAAGAGUGUGCCCAAGAUCCAAAACAGCAUGGAUGUAGUAUUUGGAGCGGACGCUGCUCUACCCAAUAGCACCCAGAUAGUGAACACUGUAGUUCGAGCAGCCAGAAACAACACAUUACCCUUCCAGAUCUUCACUUCUUCAAUUAUAAUAAAUGGAACAGAAUAUUCAUCAGGUGAAGUCAGCAGCAGGAUCAGUGUGUUGACCACUUCGUUCCUGGUUAUGGUGUCACUUCUGGUUCCAUGGUUUAACUGACCUUAACCACUCAUGACAAGAUAACUGAUUCAGCCACUCUGAAUCUUGCCUUUUAUGUCUGUUCAAAUGAAGGACUCAACUUAAGGAUGAAUGUAGCUAGUGAUGCUAUUUAAUGAGUAGGAAUGAAAGUAAAAAUGUAAAUAAUCCUAUUCUCAGCACUUUAAACUAGAUCAAAGCAAUAAUGGAUUCCAAAUCAGUUCUGGAUCUGUAUGUAAACAAUCAGUAUUGUAUAAAGCACUAUAUAAAUAAAGGCAAAUAUAAAUGUAUAUAAAUGUACCUGCAUGUUUUCAUAGAUUUACUUCAGAACCCAUCAUUGUGCACCAUAGACAGAAAAAUAACUACUGUGCAUAUUUAAAAUAAACCCUAUUGACACUCAGACUUCCAGUUUUGCCACCUCCGAAAUGACCAUGUUGUGAAGCAGGUAUUUGAUGGCAGACUCAAAAUGUAAAGGCUGAACCAAUAAAAAUAUGUUGGCUAAAAUACUAGCGCAGAUGAAGGCCAUGAGCAUAUAUGCUGCUGGUAAGCUAGAGAGAAUAGAAGUAUUGGUAAAAGACAUUAAGGAAGUGGUUAAAAGCC
ensembl:lncRNA